AAGGGGCGUAGCUGAAGCGGAUGGCCGUCAUCUUUCUCGGGGCGAAAGAGGAAAUCGCGUUCUCAAGCACCAAAUGCUGGAGAUUCAUAGGCUCAUACGUCCACUGGUUUAGGAGAUUCAAAAGCCCCGGGAUGUCUGCGAGUCGCUGGCCUUCGUUGAAAGAGGCGCCCGUCACCAGUUUGUCGGCCGACACCAUUUCCACAGCCUCGAGGGUGUCCUGGAACGGCUCCGAGAAGGCAGCAGGCGAGGCCGCGUAACCGGUCGUGUCCCUGCUUCUCUCGCCUUCGUCUCCUUUCCGUUGUGUCGCGUCGGAUCCAGUCUUGCCGCCUGUCUGGGACGCGAGAGCAGGCCCAGAAGCCGAGAGAGGCGGCUCGGCCGCACUCUCGGCCUCGCCGGGCAACAGAGUGCUCGGCAAGGCGUCGUCCGUGCCUGGGAGAACGGGCGAGUCCUCGGAGGGUCGUGAGAGAGGAAAGGACAGACUGGAGACGUUGCACACGAGAGGCAGUAGCAGAUACUCUGACGCCAGGGCUCCUUCGUUUCGAAUGCGCAGCGAACACGUCCCGACUGCGCCCAGCUGCAAUUCCCCCAUGUCCAAAGCGAGCAUUCUCUCGAGCCCCUCGGCCUCUCCGUCUGCAGGCCGAGAAAAGGAAGUUGCGCUGCUCCCGUGACGCUCGAGGCCCUGCGGCCGCAGCUCUGCGAACCACGCGGAAUGCACACGCCUCAGGCAUCUAGCGAAAAGCGAGGCAGAAAACAGACUCGCGACAGGACGCUCCAUGAGGGGGAACAUGAGGCAGGCUUCCGCUGCGGCACUGUCGCGCUCGUGUGCCUGUGGGUGCAUCGAGCGUCAGAGAGGUUUUACAAACAGACGCAAGUUUAGACAUCUGGGAUCAGUCCAGUAGCGCUGAGCCAGGCGCUCGCCUCCUCGG
rnacentral:lncRNA from 1 species